AGUGAACGCUGGCGGUAGGCCUAACACAUGCAAGUCGAACGGCAGCACAGUAAGAGCUUGCUCUUACGGGUGGCGAGUGGCGGACGGGUGAGGAAUACAUCGUAAUCUACUUUUUCGUGGGGGAUAACGUAGGGAAACUUACGCUAAUACCGCAUACGACCUACGGGUGAAAGCAGGGGAUCUUCGGACCUUGCGCGAUUGAAUGAGCCGAUGUCGGAUUAGCUAGUUGGCGGGGUAAAGGCCCACCAAGGCGACGCUCCGUAGCUGGUCUGAGAGGAUGAUCAGCCACCCUGGAACUGAGACACGGUCCAGACUCCUACGGGAGGCAGCAGUGGGGAAUAUUGGACAAUGGGCGCAAGCCUGAUCCAGCCAUACCGCGUGGGUGAAGAAGGCCUUCGGGUUGUAAAGCCCUUUUGUUGGGAAAGAAAAGCAGCAGGUUAAUACCCCGCUGUUCUGACGGUACCCAAAGAAUAAGCACCGGCUAACUUCGUG
rnacentral:rRNA from 1 species